rnacentral:lncRNA from 1 species
AAAUCAUUUUAUUAAAUACUAAAAAUUGGAAAUAUACUAAAUAUCUUAAAUUUCUGUCUUCAACAGAGGAAAAAAAAAUCAAUGAACUAAAACUAUAUAAAAACAUGGAUGGAUCUACAAUUAAAAUGUUGAGUGUAAAAAUCAAGAUGGUAAAGAAUUUAUAAAAAAUAUAAAAACUAUAUAUGUUUUAAAAUAUAUAAAGCUAUAUGAUAUAUAUAUAUACACACACACACAUCAUACACAAAUACAUGAAAAAUACAUAGAAUGAUAAACCACAAAUUUGCAAUAGUUACAACUUGAAGUUUGUCAGUAAUGGUGAUCUUAGAAAGCUCACAGAGGUUUUAGCUGCUUUGACAAAGUUCUAUUUUUUUAUUAUUUAAUGAAUGUUGGGUUUUAAAAGAUUACUAUAUUAUAUUCAAUAUAUUUUUAUAAAUUUUUACUAAUGUUUUAUAAUAAAACAAUAUUAAGAAACAUUCUAGUGGAAUUUUUAUUCAUUUAUUAAAUCUGACAAGGUUUGAAGGAGUUUUUAAUCUUCAGUUUCCUUAAUCAAACAGCAAAAUUAAAUCCUUUUAAUAAACUUUUUUAGUAAUCAAAAUGGUCCUAGAAAUAUGAGUCCAAUGCAAAGAUUACUUUUGGCUAUGAUAAAACUAAACAAAUGGAACAUGUAAUGUGAGAAAAAAGAAUGUAUACAUGUAUGUGUAACUGGGUCACCAUGCUGUAGGGUAGAAAAAAUAAUAAUAAAAAGGUUAAAAAAAACCCAAAAAACUAAACAGUAAAUUGUCAACUGAAACCAGAUAUUAGGGGCCAGAUGAAUAAAGAGGUACCAUUAGGUUUUUACCAAGCAUUUCAAUGGAUGCUGAAGAAAUAUUAGGCAACCAAACCGACAGCAGCCCUGCUCUCAAAAUGGUGUAUGUUUCGCAGAGAAAAUAGAGGCAAAUUAAAUACUCACACAAUGAAAAGAAAAUUGAACUCCUAUUUAAUGGUCCUAAGGAAAGGUAAAAGGUCCUAUAAAAAAUAUAUCCAAGAGAACUGAUCAGAGAGGUUAGGAAUGGUCUCUUGGUGGGAAAGUGCUAAAUCAGCUACCUAUAGGACAAACAAAGGGAUGAGGAAAAAGCAAGUUCAAAGACCUUGUGUCUGGAGUAUAGAGAUCAAAGUCUGUAAUCAAAUUGGUGAAUAUUAGAAAGACAAAAAACAGAAACAUUUUAAUUCUGACUUUAACUCGUCAACUCUCCAAUCAUUAUUCUUUAUACAGCAAUCUUUAGUAAUUUAUUCAUCUUUAGUCUUUGAGUGUCUACUGAUGUAAACAGACUAAAGAAAAGCUACUUGUGUAAGACUGCAGCAUAUACCUAUCACUAAAUCUUGAACAUCAUUAAUAAAUGUGAACAUUGUUAAUGUUUGAAAAUAUUUUCAACAUAUAAAAUCUAUCUCUGUAAAGGCAUUCUCUGCAAUCUAAUUGCAGUUUAAUAAAUGUUGUUGAUUUUUAAAUCUCAUUUUAAAUCUUUUUUUUUUUUUUUUUUUUGGUGGGUAGAGACUGAAAAGAGCUGGAAAAUUGUUCCUUGCUAACAUGAAAAGAUGCAAAAGAUAGUACAGUACUUUGUGUCUUUUCGCUAUUAAAAGCAUGUUAUUAACUAUCAUUUAACUCUGACUUGUCAGAGGAUAGAACAAUUGAUAUUUUUAAUACUCCAGAAAGGAUUGUCACUUUAUAAAGUUUCUUACUUUAAGGGUCUCAAUAGCUUUCUACAUGAACUAAAUUACACCAAUUUUCACUAUUCAGCCUGUGAUGGCAUAACAAUAUAACAUUAAAUAUAUUUCGGGUAUAAGAAAAUGACUGUAUGGGGAUCUAAGAAUAAGUAAUUUAUCUUGCAUUUUUUAAAGAAAAAUAAUGAUUAGUUCGGUUCUAUUCUUUAUAGUCGUAGACAGUCUCAUUCUCUCCACAUCACUGUUCAAACACAAGAUUUUUCUGAUUUUAUGAAAACCAUCUGGGACAUUACAUUUGCUUCAUAAUGGGAGGAAUUAAGAUAAGUAUCAUAAAUAAUGUUCAUUGGAAUUGAGUACAUUCUGUUUUUCCCUCUGCUCUCUCCCCCUAUACUCGCCAGAUGUAAUAGAAAGAGUUCCAGAUCUGGGUGUAAAAUUUGGGGUUUAUACUCCAAUUUCAGCAUUUAGGAGCUGUGUUACACUGGGUCUAAGAUUCUCAAUCUGCCAAGUUAGAAUAAUAAUAAUACUUACUUUACAAGAAUUAUUCUAAGAAUAAAUGGAAUGGCAUGUAUAUAAGCACAACUUGAAACAUCUUGGAAGUGGGGUUCUUGUCUUAAGGUCCAUGUGUAGUCUUAGUAAUAUGUGGGGCACUCUCUUGCAUCUGGGAUAUGCUCAAUUUACAUAUGAAAAAUAAGAUCAAACCAAAAAAGCUAAAGUUAAAACAAAACACAUAUUGGGAUUAACAUCUGAAAAAAAGUCUUCACUUUGUAAGUAAUUUGAGGGGAUAAAUGAAAAAUAGACCAUCUUCUACCAAAGCUAUUAAGAAAUUUCACACAGUCUUAAGGGGCAGAUUGACACAACAGUAUGUAUUUCCCCAAUUUUUUUCUGAUAAAACUAAAGGACAUUUCAUACUUCACUUAUACUAUAUGUCUUUGGAAAGGAAGUAUCUUGGAGAUGUGUGUUGGACUAUGAUUGAUCAUAGAAGGGACUGAAUUGGAUUCAUGUCAACAAGGGAAGCAUCCUUGGAGAAAAAUGUAUUUUUCUCUGUUCUUCAUUCCCUUAAGGAAAAAUGUAAACUAUUAAGAAGUCCUUGGUCUUGAGUUUUAGAGAAGAAUGAUUCACAGAUAUGAGUGAGUAGAAUCAAUCCUCUUAAAUUGGAAAAUAAUGAAAAAAUUGUCAUUUAUUUCUAAAGCAGAAACUGCUGCUAAUAUACAGGUAACAAUUUAAGAGUUUUGGUAUUUUAAAAUAUUUCAGAAAACUUUUUCAUAUAUAUCUAAAUCAUUUGUAUGUACAGAUAUAUUAAACUUUCUAAAUAGCAGUCAUUUGUAUUUCAGACAAGUACAGUAUCAGACAAAAUGAGACAUCUGGUAGUCUACAGGAAAACAUGAGCUUGAGGAUCUAAGGAAAAUUCACAAUAGAGAAGGAUAAUAAAAGAGUAAAAAUAAACCAUAUGUUGCUAAUGAUUUAGAAUGUGAGAAGCAUUUUUCAAAGCUGAGGUCUACUACAUAUGGAUUCAAUUUGCUUUCUGAAAUCCAAAGCUUACUGUGAUUAUCAAAAUGGAUAAGUUUCUUCAUAUCUGGCAUUAAAAGAAUAUUUUUCUCGGUGAUACUGUAAAGGUGCCUCCCUGCCAUCUGUCCCUUUACUCAGUGGAGAAGGAGUGUGAGCUAAUACAAAGAUGGCCCUGAUCAACCCUGACUUGCCCUGUCACUUUGUUAGAAAUAUCCAAAGAUUUAAAAUUCAGUAUGCUCCAUUAAACAAAUUUCCCACAAAAUGCUGUGCCAUAAGAAACACUACAAGCUGAAAUCAUUAGAACAGCAGGUUCUGAAAAAUCCUGUAAAUUAUAAAAUUGGUAGUAGAAGGGACCUUAGAGGUUUCUAUAGCAGCCUUUUAUUAUUUGUGGACCCCUGAUCUUCCACAUGAAAAAUCAUGAGGAUAUCAGUUGAAAUGCAGAUUCUUGCUCCUCCCCCCACCUACCUAGUCAGAUGCUCUAAGUGAGAAUCUGGAAUCUGUACUCUUGUCAAAUUCUGCAGGUGAUCAUUUUACUUCCUCAAGUUUGAGAGUCAGUGAUGUAGGAAAGUACUGUCCAAUGUGGUAGUCUUAGCCACAUCUGGCUCCUAAGUCCUUGAAAUAGGACUACUGACAUGCUUGAAGCAUAAAAUAUACUUCAGAUUUUGAAAACACGUAAAAAUAAUAUCAAUAAUUUUAUAUUGAAUACAGUCUGAAACUGUAUUCUGGUUACACUGGAGGAAAUCAAAUGUGCUGGAGUUCCCAUCAUGGCUCAGUGGAAACUGGCAUCCAUGAGGAUGCAGGUUCAAUUCCUAACCUUGCUCAAGGCAUUGCCGUGAGCUGUGGUCUAGGUCUCAGAGGCGGUUCAGAUCCCAUGUCGCUGUGGCUGUGACAUAGGCCAGCAGCUACAGCUCCAAUUCGACCCUUAACCUGGGAAUCUCCAUAUGCUGUGGGUGCGGCUGUAAAAAGCAAAAGAAAAAAAAAAAAGUCAAAUAUGUUGCUAAUAACUGCAUAUCUUUCAUUCAUCUUCACACUGAAACACUGGUAUUUUCUUACAAAUUUGUUAGAAUCUUUAAGAGAUAUUCAGUUUUUUAAAAAGGAUAUUCACUUUUAAUUUUUAAGUGUGACAUCCAAGAACAUUGUAUUCUUGAUAUUGUAUUCUUAUUACAUAAAUAUAAUCUGUUUGUCAUAAGGAUAUGUACUUUAAUGUUAAUUUAAAAAGUUCAUCAAGUAAAUUUGAUGAUAUUUGAAUGCAUGAAUUUGAACAAUUACCACAGACUUUUAAGAUAGACUACUUUGCUAGCAAUAGCAGUUGACUGCUGUUGCGAAUGAGAUUAUAAACUGGUUUUUCCAUAUUGGGUAUGUGUGUACAUUCACACACAGACACACACACAUGAGCACAUGCACUUAACACAAUAACUAGCUAGAGCAUCAAGUUCCCUAUUCCACUAGAACAGACAGCAUAUCCCAAACACCCUUGCAAUUAUGUGAAAGCCACGUGACUUAAGGUGACUUAAGCGCUAAACAAUGGAAUCUAGGUGAAAAUGAUGAACCACAUUUUCAAAUGUUUUCUGUAAAACCCUCCCAUUCACAAGCUUUCAUUUUUUUUCCCCAUAAGAAAAUGAAAUAAAGAAAGAGCCAAGGACUUAGAAGAACAUGCCAUCACAAAAAUAAAAGGAACCAAGGAGCCUUAAGCAGAGGACAAUGACUCAGUAAAGCCUUCUAAAGAGGAUCACCCUUUUCAGAUUGUUGUAUGAGUAAAAAAUUAAAAUAUAAAAUAAUAGUAAAAAGAAGAAUAGUGUGAUAAGUCACAUUUUAGAAUUGUGUAAUGCAGUUAGGUUACCCUAACAAAUAUAUAUAUAUAUAUUUUAGAAUGCUUUCUUUUCCUUUUUAAAUCCAAAAAGGCAGUAUUUCAUAUGUAUUAUGUUCUUGGGAUAAAAUUACUUCUAGGAAAGUACAAUUUUAGAAAAACAAAACUCAUAACACACUAUUGCUUAUCUCAGACUGCUUUAACUCAUUUUCAUCUUUUCAUUAGAAAAAAUGCCUCAACGGUGUCAUCUUAAAAUACUUUUUGGAUAAAUAAAUUUUGGAUAGUUUUACAGAACAUUAUCAAGAAAACAUAUUUCUGUGUACCCACAUUGUUUGGCCAUUUUGGAUAUCAGUUUGGACUUGUUUGUUUUUUUGUUCUGUUUUUUACUUGCUUCUGUAAGAUUUCCAUUUCUUUACCUACUUAAAAAAUUAAUUACUUGAACUGAUGGAUCUGUAUUUUAAAGAUAUGAAAGAGACAAAAUGCAAUUCAGACAAAAUAAUUAAUUACACAAGACACACAAAAAAGGCACACAUUUAAAUUAUAUUGAUCAAAGAAAUUUCUUUGCAGCUUUUUCUGAUAAAGUUGGUUGCUCAUUUCAUUGUGUUACUGUUUGUUAAAUUUUGAAGCAUCUUCCUAAAUUGUUAUUUAUCAAGCUCUGUUUAUAAAUCUGGUUUUUAUGGAAGCUUGAUUUAGGCUCAACUUCAGUGAUUUCACAUAAUUUCUCUACAUCAACAAUGCAAUUGAAAUAAAACCUCCAAAAAAGAAAUAAGUAAAGUCUAGGAGAAAAAUAAAUAAAUUGUAGUAUUUUUACCCCUUGGCUUUGACUAUAAAUUAAUCAGAUAGCACAAAGAGGAGGCAACAGAUGAGAAAAUGAGUUUCAAUUGAAUGACUUCCUUUAAAGGACCGAAAUCUAAUUUGGAUGAACUUUUGCUUGGUUGUGUCAAUUUGAUCAAGACAGAAAUAAAACAAAUAUUCACAUCAGUUCUACCAUUUAUAUAACCUCUACUGUUUACAUUUUAUGGAAUGUUUAAUUUUUAAUCACACAUUUUUUGUUGUAUAUAAAACAAAUGUAGUAAGAAUAAAGCACCUCAUAAAUAUUUUAAAGUAAACUCAAUGUAGUGAGUAUAAAGCAACUCAUACAUAUUUUAAAGUAAACUCGAUUUUAAGACCAAGGAUCUUGUGAUUAUAAUUUUAGGUAGUCUCUCUUCUUAUGUAAUAACAGUUGAUCUCAUGUUUUCCAUCUACCAUAAAAAGGAAGAAAUGAGAAAGAUUGUGCUGAAGACCACUAAUUGGAAUCAACAUCACAAGCCUCAGCCACACUUCCAGGGUUGGGAUUUUGUUGCUUCAUGCUCAGAACAUUCUGGGGUUUAUUCACAUACAUCUAGUAAAAAACAAAAACAAACCAAAAAAAAGUUAGGGACUGAGAAAAGAUUCUAUAAGUAAAAGUGAUGAGAGAGGCCAUUCCUGGAGAAAAACAGUCCCCAUCUUGUAAAGUCAAAAAGAAGUUUCUUAAGGAGUUGGGAGUAUUUUUUAUGAAGUCUUAUAACUAUACACAAGCCAAAAGAAACUCAGCAAUUUCAAGACAUAUGUCCAUCCGCAUCUGGACAUAUUUCUAUCAGUUUUGAGCUCCAAUUUCCUCUGACCUUGACACUCCUUACCAACUAGAUGAAAGUCAAAAGUGCUGUCCUCAGUCAAAAAGGGCUCUCGUUAUAUUAUAAAUUGAGUAGCCAACAAAUUCUGAACU